GGGAGUUUUAAGAGAAACCGCGAAGGUGGCUGGUGCCUGAUGGCGUUGGACUGCUUCUGUUUGUCUAGAGCUCUCUAAUCGUCUCCUCCAAAUAUUCGUUGUCGUAGGGCUUUCGACGUCGCGACUUAGAACUGCAGCACAGGAUGCGGAGUUGGAGUUGCUUUUCGCUGGGCUGUCUCUGUGAACCAACCUGUGUAGGCACUGGUGCGAGCCUUUGCCCGUUAAAAAUGAUUCUCUUGGACUCAUGUCUUCAUGGGGCUUGUCCAAGAAUGUCAGAUCUUGGAUUCUCUAUACCUGGAAAAAAACCGUGGUGUAUGCCUUUUAAACAAUUUACGGAAGGUGGUGCAUGUCUGGCACGCUGAUGUUGGUGUUUGUGUAUAUCUUUUGUAGCUAUGCCUGAGGACGUGCUCUGCACGUAUGUAUGGGUUGAUAAUACGGGAACAAGUAUGCUAAUAUAUUACACCUUUUUGCCUUUUUCAUUUGAACAAUUUA